CGAGGUAGUGGCGAGGCGAAGCGUGCGCCCGCUCGGCGGCGGCCGUUGGCGGGCGACUGGCCCGCGAGCGCACUUUCGCUCUCCAGCCGGCUAUCUCCUCGAGUGAAGUUGCUGACACACAGGAAACCCUCCGACCGCUGAGAGCCUGCUGCCCGCGGCUCCCCCGCCGCCAGUCACAGGCUGAGGUCUCUAAGGCCCCCUAGCACCAAGCCAGGUGUUUGCAAACUGCGCACAGCCGGCAGUCCGGGCUGGGAACGCCCAGGCGUUGCGCGGCGCCUCGCUUCGCCCAGCGCAAAGAAAAGUGAAGAACGAAGUUGCACUUCUAAGCCUCAAGUAAAAGAAAUCAAGAAAUUUGGAAGAGGUUUCAGGACUAGUUAUGAAGAGCUGUGGGGGAUUGGACCACCAGUCUGUUUCUUGUGUCACAUUCUUCCUACUGCACGGCAUAAGCAAAGAGGGAGAGUGUAAGGGAAGAACUGAGGAAUCAUGUUUUUCUGGAAAAAGGAGAAGAGUAUCCUGAGAUGUGAAACAUCUUCAGAGGAUGGGACAUGAAGGAGAUAAGUAUGUUUGAAAAUUGGUGAGAAUGAGGGAACAUGGUGUUGAAUAUUAGA
rnacentral:lncRNA from 1 species